ACAUCUAUGUUUAAAGAAAAAAAAACAGAAAAGGAAAAAAGACCAAAUCUGUCGACGCUUCUUUUCCCAUCCAUGGCGAUUGAAGGAAAAAAGAAUAGAAAGGAACAAAUCGACGCUUCAUCCCCAUCCAUGGCGAUUGAAGGUUCAGAAAUCAAUAUCAAUACCGGUAAAGACUGUAACGAUGGCUUGAAGAUCUUCAACGAUGAGGGUAACAAAUCUGAUUUGGAAACAAAAUCAAACCGUUGGUUGGAAACUCGUAAGAUCCACCAAGGACUUCUCGUAUUCCUGUCUCUUAAGAUCCGAAGGCUUCAUUUCUAUUUCCGUUGUUUGAUAUUUGGGUUUCAAUUUCGCCGAGUGAUAAUCAGAUUUGAAAGAAAACUAAUCGAUUGGAAUGGUUUCCAAGAAUCCGACGAAGUUCAGAAGCGGGUGAAAAUCUGAUCAAUUAAAAUUGAUUCGACAACAUCUCUGCCUAAAUAAAAGCCAAGUAACUGUCCCAAUAAAGCAUCUUCUUCAAGAUCUCCCAAGUCCACAACUUGACCAAUCACAUCUGAAAAAAAACAUCAAUACUUAGCCAGAGGCCACGAGAGUACAAUAGAUAAGAAGAUUGCGUAAAUAAUUACCAAUGAGAAAACAUGUUUUGAGUGAUCCACCCAAAACAGUCUGGAAGUCCACCAAGCUUAGAAACAUGUCUUCGUUGGUAAGAGGAGACCUUGUGAUUGCCGUAUUCUGAAUGAUGCUCAUUUUGAAGGGAUGAUCGGUUGCUCGGUACAUGCCAGUUGAAGGACUGAGGGUGAAAUUCUGAAUGUGCCUCCAUGCUCCAACAGGAAGAAGGCGGCCUUUACUCUCCAUCUUCAUCGGAUAGGACCAUCUCGAGGGUGUCCCCGUGCAUUGGGUUGUACUGCUUCCAAGAGUGCAGAACCUUCACAUGUACUUUCCAGCCACUCUUGAAGGGUUUCACAUCUUUCAAAGGGGUCACUUUCAUUGCGGUAGACAUUUUUUUUUAUUGCUAAAGUAGUUGUGAGUAAAUGUGAGAAAGCUUAGGCAUGUUGAAGGUGUUUAUAUAGUAGUAGGUUAAUCGAUGGUUCUAAAUGUCUGGUAAAAAAAUAUCUCUCGUAUAUUCUUAGUUUUCUAUAGGAAAUCGUUAGAGUAUUGAUCAAGAAAAGAUAUUUAGAGAUCGAUAUUUCAUACGGUUGUUUACAUAUCUUAACAAUAUUUACAAUUCUGUUGGUUUAGAUAUCUUUUUAACAUAAACGAAUUAAAUGAAACAAAUAUUUGGGUAGUUAUUACGUUUGCUUCAUGCGCAAGCUAGUAUAUUAUGAUUCAUUAAAGGAAAAAUUGUUAGAGAAUUUAUACGGUUAAGAUUUUAAAUAUUUGUUAUUGAAUUUGCCUAAUAUCUGCUUGCCGUGGGGCAUUUAGACACAUGGGUAAGGAGAAAAUCGAUUGGGCUAACAAUCAAGCUUGGGCCAUUUCAAAAAAUCGUUCAACAAAACGUGUUGAACGUAAUUCACGUAAAUACCCUUUUUUAUUCUUUGAAAUGUAAGAAAGCAAAAAAAAAGA